CUAUGCGCCUUGCCAGCCCGCUCAGUCAGAGUUUGAUCCUGGCUCAGGAUGAACGCUGGCGGCGUGCUUAACACAUGCAAGUCGAACGAUGAAGCUGGAGCUUGCUCUGGUGGAUUAGUGGCGAACGGGUGAGUAACACGUGAGCAACCUGCCCCUGACUCUGGGAUAACAGCCGGAAACGGCUGCUAAUACCGGAUAUGCACCAUGAACGCAUGUUCUGUGGUGGGAAAGAUUUUUCGGUUGGGGAUGGGCUCGCGGCCUAUCAGCUUGUUGGUGAGGUAAUGCUCACCAAGGCGUCGACGGGUAGCCGGCCUGAGAGGGUGACCGGCCACAUUGGGACUGAGACACGGCCCAG
rnacentral:rRNA from 1 species